AACAAACGCUGGCGGCGUGCCUAACACAUGCAAGUCGUACGAGAAAGUCGGCUUCGGCCGAUGAGUACAGUGGCGCACGGGUGAGUAGCGCGUGGGUAAUCUGCCCCCCGGUCAGGAAUAACCCGCCGAAAGGCGGGCUAAUACCCGAUAACACUGACGCUCCGCGGAGCGUCUUUCAAAGAAGGCCUCUGUUUACAAGCUUUCGCCGGAGGAUGAGCCCGCGUACCAUUAGCUAGUUGGCAGGGUAAUGGCCUACCAAGGCUACGAUGGUUAGCUGGUCUGAGAGGAUGAUCAGCCAGACUGGAACUGAGACACGGUCCAGACUCCUACGGGAGGCAGCAGUAGGGAAUUUUCCACAAUGGACGAAAGUCUGAUGGAGCAACGCCGCGUGCAGGAUGAAGGCCCUUGGGUUGUAAACUGCUUUUAAUGUGCGAAGAUUAUGACAGUAACACAUAGAAUAAGGGUCGGCUAACUACGUGCCAGCAGCCGACGGUU
rnacentral:rRNA from 1 species